rnacentral:rRNA from 1 species
AUGCAGUACUCGUCGCCCUUCCUCUUGCUCCUCCUCCUCGCCGCCUCGCCUCUCCUCGCCGCCGCAGAAACGAUCUACUGCUUCGGUGGAGUACACGAGACCAACAGCACCUACGGGGCCAACCUCCGCCGCCUGGCCGCCGUCCUGCCGGCCGAGACCGCCGCCUCCCAGGGCCUCCGGGCGUCCGGUGACGUGGGGUACUGGCCUAACCGGGUGCGAGCCUCCGCGCGCUGCGAGCCUCCUAGCGUCAGCUCCUCGUCCUGCGCCGCCUGCGUCGCCGGCGCCUUCCGGGAGGCGGAGAGCGCGUGCCCGUACGGCAGGAAGGUGCUCGUCGUGGCCGGCAACUGCACUCUCCGACUCGGUGGCAAUUUUUCUAGAUCUCUCGGCUUGGGCGAGGGUGGGUUCUCUGGCAUCUCUUCUCAAGAAGAUGGAAGCACUAUCUAUUUAUAUGCCACAGGCGACAACAGUUGGUUUCGCCUCUUGGGUCCGACGACACUGAUAUUUCAAGCAAUUGGAUUUGCAUGGCUUUUCUUCAUGCUUCUGCAAGAAUGGCGUGAUAAAAGAAGAGCCUCCAUGAUGCAUUGUAGCUCUCUUCCAUCUGGAGAUCAGUAG